AUCAUUGUCUAUUGUUCUCCAAACAGUAAACCACUAUUUCAUACUGAGAUUGUCGGCUGUGGGUAUAUUCCAAUUCCCCGUCUCCUCAUGAAUAUGAAGUGAAGGGCUCUGACCCUGAAAGUGGUUCUAAGCAGGGCAAAAUGGGGACUCGGAAGUGUGGAGGCUGCCUAAGUUGUCUGCUGAUUCCGCUUGCACUUUGGAGUAUAAUCGUGAACAUAUUAUUGUAUUUCCCGAAUGGGCAAACUUCCUAUGCAUCCAGCAAUAAACUCACCAACUACGUGUGGUAUUUUGAAGGAAUCUGUUUCUCAGGCAUCAUGAUGCUUAUAGUAACAACAGUUCUUCUGGUACUGGAGAAUAAAAACAACUAUAAAUGUUGCCAGAGUGAAAACUGCAGCAAAAAAUAUGUGACACUGCUGUCAAUUAUCUUUUCUUCCCUUGGAAUUGCUUUUUCUGGAUACUGCCUGGUCAUCUCUGCCUUGGGUCUUGUCCAGGGGCCAUAUUGCCGCACCCUUGAUGGCUGGGAGUAUGCUUUUGAAGGCACUGCUGGACGGUAAGGAAUAAUUCCCCAAACCAAGGAGGUCAGAAAAUCAGAAAUACCUGGCCUCAUGCUCAUGCUCACGCUCAUU
rnacentral:sRNA from 1 species